rnacentral:misc_RNA from 1 species
UUUAUUAUUAUUUAAUUUAGUAGUAUAUUAAUAUAUAUAUAUAUACUUUUUAUUUUAGCCUCCUAGUGAAUUAAAACUUAAUGGAAAAGCUGAUGUUGUAUAUGAUGCCUUGAAACAUCUCUUAUAUAUUGCUGAACUUCCAGUUAUAAAUAUUUUACAUCCUUGCCUAUUGAAAUUUCUUUCAGGACAAGAAAGAAAUCCAAAGAAUUCUUCAGUAGAUUUCAGAUCAACUCGUUAUGAUGAAGUAUAUGGACAACUUUUGUGGAAUAUGGAGCAUGAACAAAAAAUAUUAUUUCGAAGAGCAUAUUCUGCUUAUAUUCCUGAAUAUAUUAAUGCAAUGGGAAUAGCUGUAUGUUAUCAUAUGAAGCAAACUUUAAGAACGUUGUUAGAAUACUUAUUAAUAUAUGAUGGACCAGAAGAAGUGAGUAGAAGAAAUGCACUUCUGUCACUAAAAGUGUUGAUUUCUGUUGCUUGGCCAAGAAUACCUUAUCAUUGGGAAGAAAUUAUGAAAAAUAUUCUUAUUUGUAUAUAUGAAGUAGAAGAAGAAGAUAUAUCUAUUGAAGUAAAGUCAUUACUUUUGAAUGAAGCAAGAAAUUGUUUAUUAUAUAUGAAAAAAGCAUGUCCUGAAAAAUUUGAACCUGUAAAGAAAGGUCAACUCUGCCAUGAAAUUGUUUAUUCCUCAAAUGUGCAUUUGAAAGGACUGGAUUGGAAUAAAGACACAUUUGUGUUUUUAAAGAGUGCUCCAACUGAUUCAACUUUACCAGUCAUUGAUAUGAUUAAAUCACUUGACAAAUAUGAGUAAAAUAAAUAUGAAAAAUUUCAUCAAGAUAUAAAUCUUCUGGUAAUUUAAAGGUAUAUAAUUUCUACAUCCUCAGUAAUUUUUAUGCAAGUUUGGAAAUUGAAUAUACUGUAUUUUGGUCCAUCGACGACCGAUACUUCCGACAGCCUCUGCCAAGGAGACAACCUCAGCCUCACUUGUCGCCUCUGACAGAGGAGAGAG